GAUGAAGAACGUAGCGAAAUGCGAUAAGUAAUGUGAAUUGCAGAAUUCAGUGAAUCAUCGAAUCUUUGAACGCACAUUGCGCCCCCUGGUAUUCCGGGGGGCAUGCCUGUCCGAGCGUCAUUUCAACCCUCAAGCACUGCUUGGCGUUGGCGGAUUGCGUGCCCUCGCGGCGCUGCAACCGCCCAAAUACAGUGGCGGUCCCGCUGCGGCUCCCUUUGCGUAGUAACUCACCUCGCACUGGACCGGGCGGCGGCCUGCCGUAAAACCCCAACUCACGAAAUGUUGACCUCGGAUCAGGUAGGAAUACCCGCUGAACUUAAGCAUAUCAAUAAGCGGAGGA
rnacentral:misc_RNA from 1 species